UCUCCGUUGGUGAACCAGCGGAGGGAUCAUCACCGAGUUUUCUACUCCCAAACCCCUGUGAACUUAUACCUUUACCGUUGCUUCGGCGGGUUAACGCCCCGGAAAGGCCCCCGAAAGGGAGCCGCCCCGGAACCAGGCGCCCGCCGGGGGACCCAAACUCUUGUAUUUUCUUACCUAGCAUGUCUGAGUGGAAUCAUAAACAAAUGAAUCAAAACUUUCAACAACGGAUCUCUUGGUUCUG
rnacentral:misc_RNA from 1 species